GUCUUAUUGUAAUUUAUAAUAAGUCUGACCUGCCCGGUGAUUAAUUUAACGGCCGCAGUAUUUUGACUGUGCAAAGGUAGCAUAAUCAUUAGUCUUUUAAUAGAAGGCUGGAAUGAAUGGUUUGACGAAAUAUUAACUGUCUCAUUUUUAUGAAUUGAAUUUAACUUUUAAGUUAAAAGGCUUAAAUUUUUUUGGAAGACGAGAAGACCCUAUAGAGCUUUAUAGAAUUUGUUUUUAUAAAUUUUAGGAAAAAAUUUGGUAUAAUAAUAAUUUUUAUUUUGUUGGGGUGAUAGUAAAUAAAUAUAUAACUUUUAUUAUGAUUUUAACAUUUAUUUUUGAUUUUUAGAUCCUUUAUUUAUGAUUAUUAGACUGAGUUACCUUAGGGAUAACAGCGUAAUCUUUCUUUUGAGUUCUUAUUUGCAGAAAGGGUUGCGACCUCGAUGUUGGAUUAAGAUUACAUUUAGGUGUAGUGGCUUAUUUUGUAGGUCUGUUCGACCUUUAAAUUCUUACAUGAUCUGAGUUCAAACCGG
rnacentral:rRNA from 1 species